rnacentral:lncRNA from 1 species
AUAAUCUAAAAUGUAAAUCAAAAUUAGUAUUAGAGGGAGAGCACUCCCGCUACUGUUCGAACCUCCUGGCUCUAUUUCACAGCCUCGGAACUUGACAGAGCCCGGAGUUGCCAUCUCCCCAGCUAGUAAGCGUGCACUAUCAAAGCGGAAAGCGAGGGAGAGAGGAGAACAAACGAACUUACUUUGCCCUUCAAAUUUCCGUAUGAUGGUCCCCAAAAAUGUGUUUUGUGGUGCCACAUGCCCCCUGCGAACAGGCAUGUUGACCGGGUCUUCCGAGGAGCGCUCCCAGCUCCGGAGUUCUCCCGGGAUCUCCGCUGGGCUAGAGCCCAGGCCACCGCGCCAGCUGCUCUUUGUGGCAGAGCAUCCUCUUUGGAAGCCAGAAAUCGCUUCCCAUUAGCACCACUUCCAGACACCCGCUCUCCCCACCGGAGUCCAGUCCAUUCCCCUCACCUUCUGGAGGGGGCCUCGUACCGGACUUCCGCGGCUAGGCUUGUAGGUCGGCAGAGUUCCUCUUCCUGGUGUUGAAUUGUGGAGCUAUCCACGGUGCUGACUAGGUCAUUGCUGCUCUGGCAACUGCUCUCUGCCUCCAAUCAACCACAGACAAUAGAACCACAAACUCAGGCAAGUGGCCCUCUAUGUUCACAUAAAUCAGUCGAUUCUCCAAAUGCCCAUAGAAACACAAAACAAGGUUUUCAUUCCAUUUCUAAAACACCUUUUUUCUACUUAGCUUCUUAACUAAACCCAAGCUC